CCCGGCGGAGUUACUGCGCAGGUACUUCCUUGCCUGCCCCGACCACCUGAAGGGUCUUCUACAGAUCCCUCCUCUGCAAAUAUGUUGCAUCUCCGCUGAAUGCCGGGGACUUCCAUUCCCGUUGCUACGGAUAAAGGGCAAGCAUGAUCACACUCCUCCUCAACACAGGACCUAUCAGCAGUCCAUGAGAAGGCAAAUCAGGAGUCUGCUGCUCUAGCUUUCCCGACCUCCAUGCUUCUCCCGGGAGAUGGGCGUGUUGUUUAGGAACAAGACUCCAACAUUGCUCUGUUUUAUUUGUGGUUUCUUUGAGACAGACUCUCCCUGUAGCUCAGACUGGCCUUGAAUCAACCAUCCUCAUCCCUUCACGUGCUGGGAUUAUAACGGCACCACCAUUUUGCCCUCUGUAGCGACGACGUAAUAGGAAAUGCUCCCGCAAUCUCAGGCGUUUGGCCCCAGUUGGGAAGGAGUAAAUUGCUAGGGGUGGGCUUGAGGUUUAAAAGCCUCCACCACUUCCGGUUUGUUCUCUCGGCUUUGUGCUUGCUAUUUCAGGUGUGGGCACCCAGCUCACUGCUCUGCGGCUAUGCCAUGUGCUGCCGUGCCUCCUUUCUGACGGACUCUUACCCCACUGGACCAGCAAGUUAAAAUUAACUCUUUACUAGUUGCUUCUGUCAUGGUGUUUUGGUCACAGCAGCAGAAGAGUGACUGAUAGUGUCUCCUGUUUUAGAUGCCUGCUUUGUGAUCCCAGUGGACCAGGUAGCCAGACGACAUCUCAAACACAGUUGCGUCCCUGGGUAGCAGCUUUUCUCUCAAGGGCUUUGUGGUAGAUUUAAGGUGUUGUCCCUGGACACCCUCCACCCCCCAAUAAAAGAACUCAAGGUCUUACCGAGGCCACAGGAAGAGCAUCAGAGAACUGGAGGCAUCCUUGCAGAAGCCAUCUUUGAUGUCCAGGUCAGUCAGACCUCCAAACCCAGCUGACACUGGACUGCAACCUCAUCAGAGAUUCAAGGCUAGAACCACCCAGUCCCAUCCCGUCCCCCCCACCCCCUGCCCCCAGCCAACCCAUCAGGCAAAGCGGCUGCUAAACCAUAAAGUUUGGGGGAAGAUCAUUACAUAAUAAUAGGUUAACAAAAGAAGCCCCAUACUGGAGACCCAGAGUUCUAGGGUAGCUGAUUCACUUGGCAGGUGGGUCUGGCCUGUUCUACCCCUUGGUUCCUGAAAAAUUCUUGAGCUCUUUUGGGUUUCCCGAGGAAUCGGGGCAUAACAAGAUGUGCUUGGAGUGCGAGUAAUGGCAGGUAUGUGCACAUGAAGCAGGUCCUUGCAGAGACCAGAAGAAGGCAU
rnacentral:lncRNA from 1 species